CUAGAUUGAAAAAUUAAAAGACUAACUGAAAUACAAAGAAAAGUUUGAACUAGAGAAAACUAAAUUAAGGCAUUGUGUUUGUUGAGCUUUAUUUGGCUAAUAUUGUAUGUUCUUGAAAUGAAGCCUUAAUGCUCUAUUUAUAGAGUUGGAUUGCUUAGUGUGAUCAAGUCUGCUGCAUCAAGAAAUAACCCACUGCAUCAGCUUUCUACACCUUGAUUCAACUGUUGUACCAAGUUUUUCCUAAUAAAAUCAUGUGAUUUUGUCUUCAAAAACUUGCCCACUAAAAUAUUAACUACUUACACUACUCUCUCCACUAUCUGCAAGUUACAUAACUACCUGCAACAACCCAUUAUCCCUUAUAACUUGACUUUAGGAGACUAAUAGAUAGUGCUUCAUUAGCCUUGAUUCAGGUAACUACCUGUUGAUUUUAGGUAAUUACCUUAACUACUCCAACUCUAAAUUAAUUAUUGCACUCCUACCUGUUGAUUUUAAGUAAUCACCUUAACUAAUCCAACUCUAAAUUAAUUAUUGCACUCC
rnacentral:misc_RNA from 1 species